UGGCUCAAUUGGUAGAGCAUGGUGUUUGCAACACAAAGGUUGUGGGUUCAAUUCCCAC
rnacentral:tRNA from 1 species